rnacentral:rRNA from 1 species
GAUGAACGCUGGCGGCGUGCCUAAUGCAUGCAAGUCGAGCGAACAGACGAGGAGCUUGCUCCUCUGACGUUAGCGGCGGACGGGUGAGUAACACGUGGAUAACCUACCUAUAAGACUGGGAUAACUUCGGGAAACCGGAGCUAAUACCGGAUAAUAUAUUGAACCGCAUGGUUCAAUAGUGAAAGACGGUUUUGCUGUCACUUAUAGAUGGAUCCGCGCCGCAUUAGCUAGUUGGUAAGGUAACGGCUUACCAAGGCGACGAUGCGUAGCCGACCUGAGAGGGUGAUCGGCCACACUGGAACUGAGACACGGUCCAGACUCCUACGGGAGGCAGCAGUAGGGAAUCUUCCGCAAUGGGCGAAAGCCUGACGGAGCAACGCCGCGUGAGUGAUGAAGGUCUUCGGAUCGUAAAACUCUGUUAUUAGGGAAGAACAAAUGUGUAAGUAACUAUGCACGUCUUGACGGUACCUAAUCAGAAAGCCACGGUUAACUACGUG